rnacentral:rRNA from 1 species
GAUGAACGCUGGCGGCGUGCCUAAUACAUGCAAGUCGAGCGAACGGACGAGAAGCUUGCUUUUCUGAUGUUAGCGGCGGACGGGUGAGUAACACGUGGAUAACCUACCUAUAAGACUGGGAUAACUUCGGGAAACCGGAGCUAAUACCGGAUAAUAUUUUGAACCGCAUGGUUCAAAAGUGAAAGACGGUCUUGCUGUCACUUAUAGAUGGAUCCGCGCUGCAUUAGCUAGUUGGUAAGGUAACGGCUUACCAAGGCGACGAUGCAUAGCCGACCUGAGAGGGUGAUCGGCCACACGGGAACUGAGACACGGUCCAGACUCCUACGGGAGGCAGCAGUAGGGAAUCUUCCGCAAUGGGCGAAAGCCUGACGGAGCAACGCCGCGUGAGUGAUGAAGGUCUUCGGAUCGUAAAACUCUGUUAUUAGGGAAGAACAUAUGUGUAAGUAACUGUGCACAUCUUGACGGUACCUAAUCAGAAAGCCACGGCUAACUACGUG